rnacentral:rRNA from 1 species
CCUACGGGUGGCAGCAGUGAGGAGUAUUGGUCAAUGGUCGGAAGUCUGAACCAGCCAAGCCGCGUGAGGGAAGAAGGUACUAUGAGUCGUAAACCGCUUUUGUCAGAGGGCAAAGGCAGAUACGCGUCCCCGUCUGAAAGUAUCGUAAGAAUAAGCAUCGGCUAACUCCGUGCCAGCAGCCGCGGUAAUACGGAGGAUUCAAGCGUUAUCCGGAUUUAUUGGGUUUAAAGGGUGCGUAGGCGGCCGGUUAAGUUUGAGGUGAAAUCCCGAGGCUCAACUACGGAAUUGCCGCGGGUACUGGUCGGCUAGAGAGUGGGGACGGUAGGCGGAAUGUAUGGUGUAGCGGUGAAAUGCUUAGAGAUCAUGCAGAACACCGAUUGCGAAGGCAGCAUAC